UACGUAGGGUGCGAGCGUUGUCCGGAAUUAUUGGGCGUAAAGGGCGCGUAGGCGGUUUGUCGCGUCGGGUGUGAAAACACCGGGCUUAACUCGGUGCUUGCUUUCGAUACGGGCAGACUAGAGGUAUGCAGGGGAGAACGGAAUUCCUGGUGUAGCGGUGAAAUGCGCAGAUAUCAGGAGGAACACCGGUGGCGAAGGCGGUUCUCUGGGCAUUACCUGACGCUGAGGAGCGAAAGUGUGGGGAGCGAACAGG
rnacentral:rRNA from 1 species